AUUGAACGCUGGCGGCAUGCCUUACACAUGCAAGUCGAACGGUAACAGGUUAAGCUGACGAGUGGCGAACGGGUGAGUAAUGUAUCGGAACGUGCCCAGUCGUGGGGGAUAACUACUCGAAAGAGUGGCUAAUACCGCAUACGACCUGAGGGUGAAAGCGGGGGACCGUAAGGCCUCGCGCGAUUGGAGCGGCCGAUAUCAGAUUAGCUAGUUGGUGAGGGUAAAAGCCCACCAAGGCGACGAUCUGUAGCUGGUCUGAGAGGACGACCAGCCAGACUGGGAAUGAGACACGGCCCAGACUCCUACGGGAGAGAGAAGUGGGGAAUUUUGGACAAUGGACGCAAGUCUGAUCCAGACAUGCCGAGUGCGGGAAGAAGGCCUUCGGGUUGUAAACCGCUUUUGUAAGGGAAGAAACGAGUUUCUCUAAUACAGAGACUUAAUGACGGUACCUGAAGAAUAAGCACCGGCUAACUACGUGCCAGCCGCCGCAGUAACAC
rnacentral:rRNA from 1 species